GGGGGUAGAUUUAGUACGAAGGCGCCAUGGAUGAUGAAUCGUGAAUGCUGCUGCUGGUACGGGCCGAUAGUAUCUAUGAAGAUUUCUACCUCC
rfam:Glossina brevipalpis unplaced genomic scaffold Scaffold148, whole genome shotgun sequence.